rnacentral:lncRNA from 1 species
AUGGUCACAGUUGAUUACAUCACAAUGGGUUUGCAGCAUAUAAAGCCCAGACCAUCUUUAGGCCUAGGCUCAUUUCUCCUAAGGGUAUGUAGUGGCAGGAAGGAUUUCUGUUAUGGAGCAGCUAGUCAACCUGCCCACAGUUUUAGAAGAAAGCCGAAGAGUGUGAUCUACGGAGCAUGCUGCGCUUGCCAGGGGUGUGGACGCAGAGUUCAAGCACAAAGGGCAGGCAUUGAUUUCAUACUUCUGAUAGAUUCUUUGUGGACUAGGCAAAAGUUGAAGAAAGUGAUCAGCAACAGCAGGGGAAAUUUUCAAAAAGGAAUUAAAGUAUCAUUGAAGUUACUUCCAGAUUUCUUUGCUUUUCUGCUGGAAGACUAGAUUUGAAGAGCUUGAGUUAAAAAGUGAAUUUGUAAGUUCUAUUGGUGAAAGAAAUUAGAUUUUUUAUUAGAACUUUAGCAUCUGGGGGGAUCCCUGGGUGGCGCAGCGGUUUAGCGCCUGCCUUUGGCCCAGGGCGCGAUCCUGGAGACCCAGGAUCGAAUCCCACGUCGGG